AUGCAAGUCGAACGAUGAAGUUCCUUCGGGAAUGGAUUAGUGGCGAACGGGUGAGGAACACGUGAGAAACCUGCCUUUCAUUCUGGGAUAACACCGGGAAACCGGUGCUAAUACCGGAUACUCCAUCUUGGCGGCAUCGCCGAGCUGGGAAAAAAUUUUGAUGAAAGAUGGUCUCGCGGCCUAUCAGCUAGUUGGUGAGGUAAAGGCUCACCAAGGCGACGACGGGUAGCCGGCCUGAGAGGGCGACCGGCCACACUGGGACUGAGACACGGCCCAGACUCCUACGGGAGGCAGCAGUAGGGAAUAUUGGGCAAUGGGCGAAAGCCUGACCCAGCGACGCCGCGUGAGGGAUGAAGGUCUUCGGAUUGUAAACCUCUUUCAGUAGGGAAGAAGCGAAAGUGACGGUACCUAAAGAAGAAGCACCGGCUAACUAUGUGCCAGCAGCCGCGGUAAUACAUAGGGUGCAAGCGUUGUCCGGAAUUAUUGGGCGUAAAGAGCUCGUAGGUCGUUUGUCGCGUCGAUUGUGAAAAUCUGAGGCUCAACCUCAGACCUGCAGUCGAUACGGGCAAACUAGAGUGUGGUAGGGGAGACUGGAAUUCCUGGUGUAGCGGUGGAAUGCGCAGAUAUCAGGAGGAACACCAAUGGCGAAGGCAGGUCUCUGGGCCAUAACUGACACUGAGGAGCGAAAGUGCGGGGAGCGAACAGGAUUAGAUACCCUGGUAGUCCGCACCGUAAACGGUGGGCACUAGUUGU
rnacentral:rRNA from 1 species